AAUAGAGAACAGAAGUGGGCCCAGAGUUGAUCCUUGGGGUACACCCUUUUGUUGGAUCAACAGGUCAGACUGUUUUCCAUUAACAACCACACAUUGCUUUCUACUUUCUCCAACAAUUACA